UCUCCUUCCUGCACUGAAAUGAAAGGUAAAAAUAUCAGUGGUUCUCAAAGUGUGGUUCCUGGACCACAGCACUGCCAUCCCCUGGGAACUUUUAGCAAUGCAGAUGCUCAAGCCCCACCUCAGACCUACUGAAGCUGAAACUCUGGAGCUGGACCAGUGAUUUAACAAACCCUCCAGGCGGGCAGCAAAUGGUGACAGCUGUACCAGGCAUCACAUCCAAAUGCCACGUCAUCCAGAGGCAGCAGAUAGGGGCUGUCUCUCCUACAGUCUACUUCUCAGAGAGGCUCCCCUGCUAUGAGGAAAAUGGAAGACUGGCCAACAGGAGCGUCCUGAUGUGCUUGAGAGUGGAUUUGCUGGAUGUGUAAGCUGGUUUUCAGGAAUUUGAAUUGCUCUGGUGUGAAACUGAGUGUAUGUCAUGCCUGGCUGACGGAGAACAAGAACUUACAGACUGAGAGAGGCAGUGGUGGGCCAGAAGUUACAUCACGGUGCCUGGAGCAUCAUGGCCCCAUAAAGAACAACAGUCUGUGAGGUCCACACCUUCAACAUUUGAAUGUUGAAGAAGGCUCUGAGUUUAUGUAAAGCCUUUGACGUUGUGAGAACAGACUUAGAAGCCAGAUUGCUUGCAUCCAAAUCUAGACACCACCACUUACUGGAGUGAAGUAUUAUAUCUGAGAAGAUCUGAAGUGCUCGGGGCAGCAAACAGGGCUUUGGAGGCUGUCUGGGGAAGGAAGCAGGGAGCAGCAAAGGAGCUGACUAGAAGAGGAUUUGGAAGGGAACCAAGAUACCCCUUAGGAAUUGAAUAAGUCUUGUGGUGUGUGAGGUCAAUCCUCUCUCCAUUCUCUCCAACAAAACCUUCAGUAAAUUGUCUCUUCUGUGAGUGCAUUGUGGAUCUGUCUUGAGGGGCACAUCAAAUGGUGAGUUCUGUUUCCAGGAGGUUCAGGGUGAGAGCAGGUGCUGCCCAAGGGAGCCUGGUUACACUGGGAACACUAAAGAAAGGAAAAACUAAGCAAAUAACUGAGUGAAUACGUGAACCCUGGAGCUCCCGUGAUCCUCCACUAAAUCAUAAUCUCUGGCAAGGCCUAUAAUCUCUUCAGUCCAGUCCCUAGCCAAAUUCUGGAACUGGUCAGCCUACCUACUCCAUUUCCCAUUUCCUUCCAUCCCCACUUCCCUUCUGCUCUCUUUUG